UUUCACUGGAUCAUUGCUGGGUGGAGUGUGGAGGGGAAGGAGGGGGGGAGCCAGGCCGAGCAGGAGCCUCCCCCCCGCUCCCAUCCGCGCACCCCGAGCCUCGGCCUGGAGAGCGGGGCGGAGGGCAGCGGGCGGCCCCCGCGCCCGUGUCUGGGCGGGGCGGGGCGGGGCGGGGGGACGGCGACCCUCACACGGGCGAGGGAAGGGAAGGGAAGUGAAGGGUGGAACGGGGGAGGCGGCGCGGCCCCGGGGAGCCGGGCCCGUUGCUGGGGAGACGCGCCCGGCGCGCUCUCAGUGGCUGCCCGGGCCGCGUGCCCCCCUCCGCCCGCCCCAGCCCUCGGCCGCCCCGCCCCGCCCCGCCCCGCCCGCCCUUCGCGCGUUCCACUGCGGUGCGGGGCUGCGCGUGCGGGGAGAGCCGCCCGUCCGUCCGCCCCUCGGCUCCGCCAGGUGCGGAGCCCGCGGCCCAGGCGGCCGCAGGUGGCCCCGGGGAGCGGCGGGGAGGUGGCGCCGCCUCGCGCUGCGGAACGGGAAGGGAGGGACGGGGUGGGCAGGCGGGAGGAGAGGAGAGGAGAGGGCGGGGGGAGCGUGCCGGUGCUGCCGCCGCCGCCGGGAGGUGCGGCGGGGCCGGGCGGCGAUGCGGGGGGGGGUGCGCUGAGGCGGGGCGGCACCGCGGCUGUGGGUGCGUGGGGAGAUCUCCCGAGCGGGGAUGUAACCCCAGCCGGAACAUGGAGGAGCCCGCUGCGCCGCGUCGACAAAAGGGAAAAUCCGGGCCCUGCUGAGGCGAGGCACAAAGUGGGGCUGUUGGCGAAUCAGGCGGAUGGGACCGCUAAGGCGGAUCCAGCUGCAGCAUCGCAGCUCGUCGGCGUUGCAAAGGAUAAGGAGUGCGGCUCGGUCCGUUCGGUGUCAGAGCCGCUCAGCCCUUUUUCUGGCGCUCCGGGGGCGGUACGGGCUCACACGUGUAACCUCGAAUGGUACGAUUCCUUCCCGGCAGCAGGAUCACUCAUCCUUACGGCUUUCGGUCCCUAUAAGCUAUGCUGA
rnacentral:lncRNA from 1 species